GCAGUACAGUGGCGUAAUCUCAGCUCACUGCAACCUCUGCCUCCCGGGAUCAAGCGAUUCUCCUUCCUCAGCCUCCCGAGUAGCUGGGAUUACAGGUUCAAGAGAUUCUUCUGCCUCAGCCUCCCAAGUAGCUGGCACUGCAGACACGCACCACCACACCCAGGAUGGUGCUAGCAUAUAUAAGACUGAAACACCAAAGUCCUCCGUGGAAGUUAAUGAAUUUCUAGGCAGCUGUGGUAGACCCCAAAUGCACAGGGCAUAUGGCUCACCUCACCACCCCAGAUGGUGCUACUGGCCCAGCCUUCCCAGCGUCCACCCUGGCAGUCUUUCCUCAUUCCCUUGGCCCUCACCCUGUCUCCUCAGCCUUCCAGCUGCACUGCUAUUGUAGGCUGCUCUUUCUCGACAAUCUCCUCUUAUUUUCUGUGAUGUCUCAGGAUGUUUCUUCUUCUCAGGGGUUUUCCAAGCUUCUUCCACACUCAGGUGCUCAGACGUUUUUAUGGUCUGGCUUCUGAAGGAGAUCAAAAUUCAUAUGGACAGGCAUUUGUGUAUUAGCCAAGAGUUGCUAAUGCAUUUCUUGAUCAUAAGUCUCAGAGAAAUGGGAUGAAAGAUCUUAGAUUUUUAUACACUCUGCUUCAAUGAUUUCUCAGCUUUUCUGAUCUGAAAAGAAUAAAGGACACCUUUUAGCUAAGCACUUUCUGUUUUAUUUCUUAUAAUGCCAUGUAGUGGCUGUUACUGCCAACACAGCAGUCAUUUAAUAAACCCUGAAUGUCUGUA
rnacentral:lncRNA from 1 species